GGACCACACAAGGGCAUGAAUACCAGGGAGGGAUAAUUGGAGGUCAUCUUGGAAGCUGCUACAGGGGAGCAGAAUCCCUCCUGAGGCUUCUAGCUGGGCAAUCCCUCCUUAGUGUGGGCUGGGGCUGCCUCCUUCUGACAGAACACUUAGAAGAAAUUCUCACCUGAAAACCCCACCUGAGACAUGUGGAAGUGCCCCGCCCUGAAGGCCGCCCCCCAUUCUUCCCUGCUGAGAUGAAGCACUGCCUCUCACCCUGAUGGGGCCACACCAGUCCUUCCUUCCCAUCCUCGCGGCACCAAAGAAACCAAAACCCACGCCGAAGUAUCAGAAACGUGUAUUCUUUUUCUUUUAAUAGUAAACCUCUUUA
rnacentral:lncRNA from 10 species